ACGAACGCUGCGGCGUGCUUAACACAUGCAAGUCGAACGGUGAAGCGCCUUCCUUUUUGGUGGGUGUGGAUGAGUGGCGAACGGGUGAGUAACACGUGAGUAACCUGCCCCCUUCUUCUGGAUAACCGCAUGAAAGUGUGGCUAAUACGGGAUAUUCUGGGUCUGUCGCAUGAUGGGUCUGGGAAAGAUAUUGUUUCGGUGGGGGAUGGGCUCGCGGCCUAUCAGCUUGUUGGUGGGGUGAUGGCCUACCAAGGCGGUGACGGGUAGCCGGCCUGAGAGGGUGGACGGUCACACUGGGACUGAGACACGGCCCAGACUCCUACGGGAGGCAGCAGUGGGGAAUAUUGCACAAUGGGCGCAAGCCUGAUGCAGCGACGCCGCGUGAGGGAUGGAGGCCUUCGGGUUGUGAACCUCUUUCGCCAGUGAAGCAGGCCUGCCUCGUUUGUGGGUGGGUUGACGGUAGCUGGAUAAGAAGCGCCGGCUAACUACGUG
rnacentral:rRNA from 1 species